UGCAGAAAGCCUGUGCUCUACAAG
rnacentral:piRNA from 1 species